rnacentral:rRNA from 1 species
UACGGAGGGUGCAAGCGUUAAUCGGAAUUACUGGGCGUAAAGCGCACGCAGGCGGUUUGUUAAGUCAGAUGUGAAAUCCCCGGGCUCAACCUGGGAACUGCAUUCGAAACUGGCAGGCUGGAGUCUUGUAGAGGGGGGUAGAAUUCCAGGUGUAGCGGUGAAAUGCGUAGAGAUCUGGAGGAAUACCGGUGGCGAAGGCGGCCCCCUGGACAAAGACUGACGCUGAGGCGCGAAAGCGUGGGGAGCAAACAGG